rnacentral:rRNA from 1 species
CACGUAGGGCGCGAGCGUUGUCCGGAAUUAUUGGGCGUAAAGAGCUCGUAGGCGGCCUGUUGCGUCCGCUGUGAAAGCCCGGGGCUUAACCCCGGGUCGCAGUGGAUACGGGCAGGCUAGAGGUAGGUAGGGGAGAAUGGAAUUCCCGGUGUAGCGGUGAAAUGCGCAGAUAUCAGGAGGAACACCGGUGGCGAAGGCGGGUCUCUGGGCCGAUACUGACACUGAGGAGCGAAAGCGUGGGGAGCGAACAGG